AGAGUUUGAUCCUGGCUCAGGACGAACGCUGGCGGCGCGCCUAACACAUGCAAGUCGAACGAGCGAGAGAGAGCUUGCUUUCUCGAGCGAGUGGCGAACGGGUGAGUAACGCGUGAGGAACCUGCCUCAAAGAGGGGGACAACAGUUGGAAACGACUGCUUAUACCGCAUAAGCCCACGGGUCGGCAUCGACCAGAGGGAAAAGGAGCAAUCCGCUUUGAGAUGGCCUCGCGUCCGAUUAGCUAGUUGGUGAGGUAACGGCCCACCAAGGCGACGAUCGGUAGCCGGACUGAGAGGUUGAACGGCCACAUUGGGACUGAGACACGGCCCAGACUCCUACGGGAGGCAGCAGUGGGGAAUAUUGCACGAUGGGGGAAACCCUGAUGCAGCGACGCCGCGUGGAGGAAGGAGGUCUUCGGAUUGUAAACUCCUGUUGUUGGGGAAGAUAAUGACGGUACCCAACAAGGAAGUGACGGCUAACUACGUGCCAGCAGCCGCGGUAAAACGUAGGUCACAAGCUUCUUGAGUAGUGCAGAGGUAGGCGGAAUUCCCGGUGUAGCGGUGGAAUGCGUAGAUAUCGGGAGGAACACCAGUGGCGAAGGCGGCCUACUGGGCACCAACUGACGCUGAGGCUCGAAAGUGUGGGUAGCAAACAGGAUUAGAUACCCUGGUAGUCCACACCGUAAACGAUGAUUACUAGGUGUUGGAGGAUUGACCCCUUCAGUGCCGCAGUUAACACAAUAAGUAAUCCACCUGGGGAGUACGACCGCAAGGUUGAAACUCAAAGGAAUUGACGGGGGCCCGCACAAGCAGUGGAGUAUGUGGUUUAAUUCGACGCAACGCGAAGAACCUUACCAAGUCUUGACAUCCCUUGACAGACAUAGAAAUAUGUAUUCUCUUCGGAGCAAGGAGACAGGUGGUGCAUGGUUGUCGUCAGCUCGUGUCGUGAGAUGUUGGGUUAAGUCCCGCAACGAGCGCAACCCUUAUGGUCAGUUACUACGCAAGAGGACUCUGGCCAGACUGCCGUUGACAAAACGGAGGAAGGUGGGGAUGACGUCAAAUCAUCAUGCCCUUUAUGACUUGGGCUACACACGUACUACAAUGGCGUUAAACAAAGAGAAGCAAGACCGCGAGGUGGAGCAAAACUCAGAAACAACGUCCCAGUUCGGACUGCAGGCUGCAACUCGCCUGCACGAAGUCGGAAUUGCUAGUAAUCGUGGAUCAGCAUGCCACGGUGAAUACGUUCCCGGGCCUUGCACACACCGCCCGUC
rnacentral:rRNA from 1 species